UACGUAGGGUGCAAGCGUUAAUCGGAAUUACUGGGCGUAAAGCGUGCGCAGGCGGUUAUGCAAGACAGAUGUGAAAUCCCCGGGCUUAACCUGGGAACCGCAUUUGUGACUGCAUAGCUGGAGUACGGCAGAGGGGGAUGGAAUUCCGCGUGUAGCAGUGAAGUGCGUAGAUAUGCGGAGGAACACCGAUGGCGAAGGCAGUCCCCUGGGCCUGUACUGACGCUCAUGCACGAAAGCGUGGGGAGCAAACAGG
rnacentral:rRNA from 1 species